rnacentral:rRNA from 1 species
AUUGACCGCUGGCGGCAGGCCUAACACAUGCAAGUCGAGCGGCAGCGGGAAAGUAGCUUGCUACUUUUGCCGGCGAGCGGCGGACGGGUGAGUAAUGCCUGGGAAAUUGCCCAGUCGAGGGGGAUAACAGUUGGAAACGACUGCUAAUACCGCAUACGCCCUACGGGGGAAAGCAGUGGACCUUCGGGCCUUGCGCGAUUGGAUCUGCCCAGGUGGGAUUAGCUAGUUGGUGAGGUAAUGGCACACCAAGGCGACGAUCCCUAGCUGGUCUGAGAGGAUGAUCAGCUACACUGGACCUGAGACACGGUCCAGACUCCUACGGGAGGCAGCAGUGGGGAAUAUUGCACAAUGGGGGAAACCCUGAUGCAGCCAUGCCGCGUGUGCGAAGAAGGCCUUCGGGUUGUAAAGCACUUUCAGCGAGGAGGAUAGGUUGAUGCCUAAUACGUAUCAACUGUGACGUUACUCGCAGAAGAAGCACCGGCUAACUCCGUGCCAGCCGCCGCCGUAA